AGCAGUCGCCGCGGUAAUACGGAGGGUGCAAGCGUUAAUCGGAAUUACUGGGCGUAAAGCGCACGCAGGCGGUCUGACAAGUCAGAUGUGAAAUCCCCGGGCUUAACCUGGGAACUGCAUUUGAAACUGUCAGGCUGGAGUCUUGUAGAGGGGGGUAGAAUUCCAGGUGUAGCGGUGAAAUGCGUAGAGAUCUGGAGGAAUACCGGUGGCGAAGGCGGCCCCCUGGACAAAGACUGACGCUCAGGUGCGAAAGCGUGGGGAGCAAACAGGAUUAGAUACCCCGGUAGUCCCUGUCUCUUAUAC
rnacentral:rRNA from 1 species